CAGAAGAGACCCACGUGGGCACCAAGUCCAUCCUGGUGGCAGGGGACUGAUGAAAUUUCUCUUUGAAAGUUGCUUCCACUUCCACAUUCUUGGGAAACUCAUUCAAUCCCACAAUUAUUUAGUGAACACACACUCUGUUCCAGUCAUCUAUUAGGCACUGGAGACCCAGCACCGAGCAAGGCAGACAACAUUCUUCAUCUCAUGGAGCUGACACUCUGGCAGAGGAGACAGAAAAUAAGAAUGGAAAAAGAAGGGCCUAGAGAGGGCAGAAGAACCAUCCAAGGUCGUGUUGCAAGUUCCUGCCAGAGUCCCAGGGUCAGGAUCAGGCUCAAGACAGAGCAAAUACUGAACCAUCCCAUUCCCAGGUGACAUGAGAGCACUGUGCUGGGACAGGAGACAUCACUCGGAACAAGAGAGACGUCUGUUACUGGGAUUGGUAUUCCAGGCAGACAAUAACCAAGUAAAUAAAUGAAUCAUAUUUGUAACGAAAUCACAGCUAAUAUUUAUUGUGUGCUUUCUUUGUGCCAAACGUUGUUCGAAAAACUUUGUGUACUUUAUGAUAUUUGGUCUUCACAAACACACUGGGAAGUAAGCCUGUUAUCUCAGUUUUGCAGAUCAGAAAGAAACGUACACUUCGGAGAGAUGAAAUCAUGAACCUAAGGUCAUAUCGCUCAUCGAAGUCAGAGGAGGAAGAUUUGAACCCAGGUCGUGGCGCUCCCAUCUACGCACUUAACCACUGCUCUAAAAUAUGGGAAGAUCAUUUCGGAUGGAGGGUUGGGGACAGAGCCCAGGAAAACCCUGACCUUCACCUUCUUACGCCUUUGUGUCGGACACUUGUUUUUCAGGUUUCUGAGAAGCCAAACUUCAUUGUUCUUUGUGGCUUCUUCCAGUUGCUUAGCUGUGGUCCCUGGGGACCAGGGGGAAGGGCUUGGAGCUCAUGGCUGGCCAGGAACCUGUGUGCAAUCAGAUCACCUUUAUUUUUAAGCCAAGAAAUCCCUGAUGACACAUGCUACCCUUCAGAGGAGCAGGCUGACCUGACCAGGGGAACAGUCACUGGGCAGAGAGAAGCCACACACCUCAGACAAAGUUUUUGACAAUCAGGCAAGGAGGUCCGGUGGGGGGCUCUUACCCAACCCUGCUUCCUGUGGGAUCAUUCUAAUCAGCAGCAGAAAAAGCCAUAAGCUUAUAAAAUGGUACUGGGGAGUCUCUGAGGAAACAGGUACUUCCAUACACUCCUGGGAAGUGGAAGGUGCCAGAGCAGUUUUAGAAAACAAUUGUCAUCAGCUACCUAAUUUUAAAGAAACACAGCCUUUGACCAGCAGUUUCAGGCCUAGGGGUUCAUCCUACAGAUAACUUCACACAUGUGUAAAAUGAGGUAUGUGCAAUGCUACACUUGACAUCAAUUUGUAGAAAGAACUGGAAUGAUCCCUUUCUUCUACCCUCCCCCGCCACACAGGUCUCUGGUUAAAGAAGCCAGGUCCUUGCUUGCAAAGAAAUCUUCGGCAGCUCUUCAAAGGAAGACGGGUCUCCAUGUACUGCAAUUGAGCCCUCUUCAAGAUAAACUGUUAAGGGGGAAAAAGAAAGGUCCGGAACAUUAUAUGCUGUCCUGAUGGUAACAAAAUUAAAGAAACAGAGGUGGGCAGGGGCUCUGUCUGUAGAGGUGUUGAACUGGGAGUUCCUCCACAAGAGCUUGUAGCAUCCUGAGACCUGGCAUCCCAGUACUGGCCCUCCCUUGCUGUGCAAGAAGAUCAAAGUGUUCAACCUCUCUGUGCUCCAGUUUCCUCAACUGUAAAAUUGGGCUUGAUGGAAAAAUUAAAUAAAGUCAUCUACACAAGAGGCAUUUCUCAGUGCCUAGGAUGUAGGAAAUGGCCAAUAAGGAAUAGCUGUAUAAUAAUUAUCAUUCUGCACAAACUCUCCCCGGAAGAAGGCACAAAAACAUGGAUAAUGGGCUAUUACAUCUGGGCACUGGGAAGACUGGGAGAUAGGACAAGGGGUGACCAAUUUUUCAGUGUAUGCCCUUUUCGAAGUGUUAAACUUUUUUUUUUUGAGACAGGAUCUCACUCUGUUGCCCUCUGGGGUGCAAUGGUGAGAUCGUAAUUCACUAAAGCCUCAACUUCCUGGGCUCAAGCAAUUC